AACCAAUUUACAUUUACAUUCAGAACGGGUAUUAUUGUAGUGGAUUUGUGACUUUUCUAGACAAUAUCUUCUCUACAACUCAGUUCGAGAGCAAAAACGAUGUGCGAACUGCCAUUGCAGACCGAU
rnacentral:snoRNA from 1 species